GGGACCGUAGCUCAGUGGUACAGCACUUGCCUAGCAUGUAUGAAGCCUAGGUUCAAUACCUAGCACUUCAA
rfam:Ictidomys tridecemlineatus contig022367, whole genome shotgun sequence.